rnacentral:tRNA from 1 species
UGGGAUAUAGCUCAGUGGUAGAAUAUUUGUCUAGCAUGCAAGUUGUCCUGGGUUUAAUUCCCAGCAUCAUGG